GAGCGAUGGCAGUUCUGGAGGCCUCGCUCCGGGGCCGACCCGAGGCCACAGUGCCCCCGCGGUAGACCGGACUUGGGUGACGGGCUCCGGGGUCCCGAGGUGAAGAGCAUCGGGGGCUGAGGGAUGGAAGGGUCUAAGACGUCCAACAACAGCACCAUGCAGGUGAGCUUCGUGUGCCAGCGCUGCAGCCAGCCCCUGAAACUGGACACGAGUUUCAAGAUCCUGGACCGUGUCACCAUCCAGGAACUCACAGCUCCAUUACUUACCACAGCCCAGGCGAAACCAGGAGAGACCCAGGAGGAAGAGACUAACUCAGGAGAGGUAAUAGAAGUGCCCUCUCCCCUAUCCUCAUGUAGUAAGCAUUCCAAGUGAGAGAUAUAUGAAAACACAGGAAUGCAGGCUUGGUUUCUGCAGGCUACUUGGCGCUUCUAGAGCUCCCAGACUUUUGGGGUCUCUGGGUAAUGAGACAUUCUACAUGAUCAGGCUGCUAUGCACCACUGGAGGUACAGUCUGCACCUGAGGUCACAGGGUUACUGAAUGAGCCAUUUUAAAAUCUUGGAAAGGGCUCUUUAUUUGAAGCAGAAUUAUAAAUUAUCGUAGGUUGGAGAUGGGAUGACCUGUGUGUCCAGGUCGUUCCAGAGCAUUGAUUUGCAUCUGUUGUUCUAGCUAGUUGUUAAUAUCUGCUCCUCUCCAUUCUCAAAAGCAUCCUGGUUAGGACAGUGAAUUGUAUGAUUUCCCU
rnacentral:sRNA from 1 species